UACGUAGGAUGCAAGCGUUGUUCGGAUUCAUUGGGCGUAAAGGGUGCGUAGGUGGCGCCGUAAGUCAGGUGUGAAAUCUCGGGGCUCAACCCCGAAACUGCACUUGAUACUGCGGUGCUCGAGUACUGGAGAGGAGAUUGGAAUUUACGGUGUAGCAGUGAAAUGCGUAGAUAUCGUAAGGAAGACCAGUGGCGAAGGCGAAUCUCUGGACAGUUACUGACACUGAGGCACGAAGGCCAGGGGAGCAAACGGG
rnacentral:rRNA from 1 species